UCAGUAGGUGGCAGAGAGAAGAGAAGCUAUGUCUAAGCUUAGUGUUCUGACCUGUGAACAUCUGAAUGAUUAGUAGCCUAACACU
ensembl:snoRNA Gm23831 predicted gene, 23831